AUGUGAGUUUUUCUUGAAAGAGCAUUGAAAGUCAUGAGGGGGCCCAUGGUGCAAUUCAUACAUAACGAAGAGAAGUGCCAGGGUGUUGCUAGCUUGAAGUGGAGCGGGUGAUGGACGCAUGCAGGGCCCGCAGGGAUUUAAAUAGAUGGUAGAACGUGGCUUGGGCUUCUUCACGCGGCUUGAUGCGCGGCAUAGGGAAGUGGAGCCACGGAACGCGCGUGGCUGUGGACUUGUGCGGCUACGAGAGGCAUGUGGAAGCUAUUGCAAACAGACAAAGAAAGAAGUGCGAAUUGGACUCCAGACGUGUCCGUGAGAAUGCAGGAAGGUACUGCGCACGGGCUUGAAGUGGAGUUGGGCGUGAAGGCUGAGACGCAUUCUUCACGCGACGCGGUGGCCUGGACGUGGAGCAUUAACAGUUAAAAAAAAAAGAGAAAGAGAAAGGAACAAUUCAGAUUUGGAGUUUUCAAAAAAAUAAAAACAGAUGCGACAAAAAUUAUGGCCAUCCAUCUAUCUCGAAUUAUUAGUCCUACAUUGAAAAAAUAUAAAAAUCUCCUUCCUCCUAUACCUAUAAAUAAAGAUCA
rnacentral:lncRNA from 1 species